CCUACGGGAGGCAGCAGUGGGGAAUAUUGGACAAUGGGGGGAACCCUGAUCCAGCCAUGCCGCGUGUGUGAAGAAGGCCCUCGGGUUGUAAAGCACUUUCAGUGAGGAAGAACGCCUGGUGGUUAAUACCCAUCAGGAAAGACAUCACUCACAGAAGAAGCACCGGCUAACUCCGUGCCAGCAGCCGCGGUAAUACGGAGGGUGCGAGCGUUAAUCGGAAUUACUGGGCGUAAAGCGCGCGUAGGUGGCUUGAUAAGCCGGUUGUGAAAGCCCCGGGCUCAACCUGGGAACGGCAUCCGGAACUGUCAAGCUAGAGUGCAGGAGAGGAAGGUAGAAUUCCCGGUGUAGCGGUGAAAUGCGUAGAGAUCGGGAGGAAUACCAGUGGCGAAGGUGGCCUUCUGGACUGACACUGACACUGAGGUGCGAAAGCGUGGGUAGCAAACAGGAUUAGAUACCCUGGUAGUC
rnacentral:rRNA from 1 species